rnacentral:rRNA from 1 species
GUGGGGAAUAUUGGACAAUGGGGGGAACCCUGAUCCAGCCAUGCCGCGUGUGUGAAGAAGGCCUUUUGGUUGUAAAGCACUUUAAGCGAGGAGGAGGCUACCGAGAUUAAUACUCUUGGAUAGUGGACGUUACUCGCAGAAUAAGCACCGGCUAACUCUGUGCCAGCAGCCGCGGUAAUACAGAGGGUGCAAGCGUUAAUCGGAUUAACUGGGCGUAAAGCGCGCGUAGGUGGCCAAUUAAGUCAAAUGUGAAAUCCCCGAGCUUAACUUGGGAAUUGCAUUCGAUACUGGUUGGCUAGAGUAUGGGAGAGGAUGGUAGAAUUCCAGGUGUAGCGGUGAAAUGCGUAGAGAUCUGGAGGAAUACCGAUGGCGAAGGCAGCCAUCUGGCCUAAUACUGACACUGAGGUGCGAAAGCAUGGGGAGCAAACAGGAUUAGAAACCCCAGUAGUCC